GGUUAAGCGACUAAGCGUACACGGUGGAUGCCCUGGCAGUCAGAGGCGAUGAAGGACGUGCUAAUCUGCGAAAAGCGUCGGUAAGGUGAUAUGAACCGUUACAGCCGGCGAUGUCCGAAUGGGGAAACCCAGUGUGAUUCGUCACACUAUCGUUAACUGAAUACAUAGGUUAACGAGGCGAACCGGGGGAACUGAAACAUCUAAGUACCCCGAGGAAAAGAAAUCAACCGAGAUUCCCCCAGUAGCGGCGAGCGAACGGGGAGCAGCCCAGAGUCUGAAUCAGCUUGUGUGUUAGUGGAACGGUCUGGAAAGUCCGACGGUACAGGGUGAUAGUCCCGUACACCAAAAUGCACAGGCUGUGAACUCGAAGAGUAGGGCGGGACACGUGGUAUCCUGUCUGAAUAUGGGGGGACCAUCCUCCAAGGCUAAAUACU
rnacentral:rRNA from 1 species